rnacentral:tRNA from 1 species
AGGCAUGUAGCUCAAUGGCAGAGCACUUGCCUAGCAUGCAGGAGUCCUGGCUUUGUUUCUGGCAUAGCUA